CGUCGUACCUCACUUCGACUAGUGAAAACUCUUCCUUAAUUUAUUUGAUUUAAUCUGAAAUGUGUCGGUGUCAGUUUCUGAUUAUAAUUUUAGUUGUUAAUUUCUUCUGCGGAGUCACCCUAGCUCAUCCUCAGAUAGUAUAUGUGACGCCUGUUGACAAUCCAACUAAUGCAGAGGAGUAUCAGUGUGUGACAGAUGCUGACCCUGAAAACACAAAAUACAGCUGGCAGAGGCAGGAUGGGAAUUUGCCAGAAGGUGUGAAGGCAGAGGGAAACCGAUUGCAUUUCCUGAAGUUGAGCUCCGACCUCAAUGGUUUGUACAUCUGUAAGGCAGUGAACAAGUUUGGCGAAGCAACAGGUUCCCUCUAUCGAUAUAAAAGUUUUCAUGAAGAGUUAUAACAAUGCUAAGUCAAAAACAGGUGUUUUCAAUUUCACUAAAAUGUAAAAACUUAAGGAUUUCUGCCUGAUCAAAACCAAAUUUCUUUAAAAAAAAUGGAGAACUUCAGCUAAAUGAUGUGUGUUAGAGGUCUGAUUUAUGAUAAAUACAAUAAUUUUAAAUUAGCAUAAAAAUCAUGUUCAUUUCAUAACCACAAACAUAUGCUUGGAGUUUAUUAAACCGUUCCCUGAUGCAAAAAAAAUUUUUUGUGUAGUAAAUGGGCUUUUGUCCGAAGGGAUCCCGUCCCUGCAAAUUCCACAACAAAUGGCAAAAGAGCAGCUUCUUUCUCUCACUCACUGACUGUCUCUCUGUCUCUCUCCAAAAAAUAUAAUAGCAUUGUUAAUAAUGAGAUAAGAAUGAGAUGUGUCGCUUCAUUUGUCUUCUGUCUGGGUUCCAAAUGAUGACAGUAAUGAUAGUAGUUUGUCCUAAAUUCACUCUGUUGUGUUACCUUUCAUCGGAUUAAAUUUUAAAUUUGGAGUUUUUCAGUACUGAUCACAUAGCAUUACGCAGACCCUCCUUAGCUUAGAUACUCACACUCAUCUGUAUCCUUAAAUGAGUUUUCCCAUUUCUACAGUUUUAGGGCUAUGGAUGCUGCUGAAAAAUCAUUGUUUCUUACACUCUCUUCAGUACUGAUCUCCUUCAACACCUCAAAACUGUACUGAGACUAUCCAGCCUAUCAGGAGACUAAAGACGUAUAUUCUUAGCCACCUCCCUCAGUACUCAGCUUUACUGAUCUACAAACCACCAACCAUGCAGCUGAAAUCUCGACUCCCCCCUUGGCUCCAUAGCUAUUAGAAUCAUCUGUUCAUCAUUAUGCAGUCAUUAGGACUUGCAUUAAUGGCCUCUUUGUUAAUUACUUUGUUAAGCUCAGGUUCAUUCUGUCUCAAACCUCAGUUUGCAGUAGACCCAAUACCUUGUACCUCCUUGUUUUCACCUGGACAUGUUAUAUGAGUUUAAUACACAGUCAUAUCAGAAUCACCAGGCAUCACCAUUGAGUGAACACUUUUACAUUUGGGCUUGCGAAGCAGAUGCAUGGUUAUGGUGGCAAUGUUAACCAAGGUUCAUUGUCCCUGUUGCCUCCAGUGUGUAAGGGGGAACCGUAAUUGGACACUGGAGAUUUGGAAAAACGUUGUGUCUCAGAUGAAUCCAGGUUUAUCCUACAAAAAGUGAACUAACAAUGGCAUACAUGCCACCAAAUAGAGAACUGCCUCUAUCACUAAUGUGUCAUCUCCUUGAGCUGUUAGCUUUCAGUUCCCCCCAAAACAGAUAUCUAUGUUGUAUCAUCUGUGCUAUAACCUGUUUAUGUAUCAUAACAUUAAACUCUGCAUUGCUGUGGUUCUCUGGGACUGGAGGUAUGCAAGUGUCCUCUAGAUGAAAAUAUUUAGUAGUUUAGGAAAGCAAAUCUACUGUUGUUGUUGUUGUUCUUCUACUUCUUCUUCUUGUUCUUCUUCUUCUUCUUGUUUUAGAUUAAGCAAGCUUUUGACCUAAUUCACUGCUUGUAGUCUCCAUUUCGCUUUCUUGCACAUUUUGCCAUAGUUUACUCACAUUCUGUGCACGUGUCCACAGAAUCUGUGCUAAAUGGUCUAAAUUUGUACUAUUAGCUUUCAGUUCCCCCCAAAACAAAUGCACAUUUUGCCCACAUCCUGUGAACCUCUACACAGAAUGUUUGCUAAAUGGUGUGAAGUUGUACUGCAGAAAUCACAGCAAACUGAUAAUCAAUCAGGCUCUGCUACAUAAGAGCUAUUCAGGCUUAUACAAAAGGGACAACUGCAAAGCAUGCAGCAUUAAUCACAAUGCCUGUACUCAUUCAUGCACUGCAGCAGCAGCAACAAGUAUUCACAACUGAUAAAGAAGCGUUUUGGAUUCCAAGCUGCUCAAUAAGUUUAGCUCAUUUAUAUGAAUGUGGUCACACAUGCUCCUCUACUAUUGUAAGGUGUCUCAUUACAACUCAAUCACUGUUGGCCAUUAUUACAUUUACGGCAUUUAGCAGACGCUCUUAUCCAUUAUCCUUAUCUCAUUACUCUGUCACUCUUGGCCAUCACUUCUCUGUCAUUCUUAGGCAUGCAGUAUUAUUUAAGGAGCUGAUGAUAUAUAAGCUGUGAAAUAAUUUUAGCACCAAUAAUAUGCUUGGAGUUUAUUAAACCUUUCCCUUAUAGAAAAAUGUUUUUGUGUAGUAUAUGGGCUUUUGUCCAAAGGGAUCCUGUCCCUGCAAAUUCCAUAACAUACUUUUCAAAUGGCAAAAGAGCAGCUUCUCUCUCUCUCACUCACUGUCUCGCUGUCUAUUUCCAAAAAUAUAAUAGGAUUGUCAAGAAUGGAAUAUGAAUCUUCUGUCUGAGUUCCCAAUGAUGACAGAAAUGAUAGUAGUUAGUUUGUCUUAAAUUCACUCUUUCAUUGAAUUACAUUUUUAAUUUAGAGGUUUUAAAAAACCAUGCCUUUAUAUGUGUGUAGGCCUAAUAUAAUUAAAUCGAAGUUUCCCAAGAUGUAAUACACUGUAGUUGAGAUCCUGUUACUGAUAAGGACUUGUUUACUCACAUGUAGGUUAUGGAAUUUUAGUGUUUAUCAAGCAAUUUGGAGCUUAUAUCACUACAGUGGCAGAAAAGAUGCAAGACAUAUGGGAGAGUGUAAGAGAGUGAGAUAGUAUGUACUAACCGUCAAAAUGAUUUGUUGCUUGAUUUGAUUGCUUGAUUUGACAGCUGUCAAUCAACCCUCCCCCUCAACCCCUCCCCCCAGAUAUUUAUUAUAUAUUUAUA